CAAGAGGUAGUUUAAAUAAAAUAUUAAUUUUGGGGAUUAAUGAUAAAGUAAUACUUUCUUCUUGA
rnacentral:tRNA from 1 species